AGCGGGGUGUAGCAAUACACUGCCGGCGACCGGCGCACGGGUGCGUAACGCGAAUACAAUUUGCCUUAUACUGGGAGAUAGCCCGGAGAAAUUCGGAUUAAUAUCCCAUAAUACUGAUGUCUCGCAUGAGAUGAUUUUUAAAGCUACGGCGGUAUAAGAUGAGUAUGCGUCUGAUUAGCUAGUUGGUAAGGUAACGGCUUACCAAGGCGACGAUAGGUAGGGGGCCUGAGAGGGUUAUCCCCCACACUGGUACUGAGACACGGUCCAGACUCCUACGGGAGGCAGCAGUGAGGAAUAUUGGACAAUGGAGGCAAGUCUGAACCAGCCAUGCCGCGGGUGGAAAGAAUGCCCUAUGGGUGGAAAACUACUUUUAUUUGGGAAGAAACCUUUCUAGGUGUAAAGAGCUGACGGUACCCAAGGAAUAAGGACCGGCUAACUCCGUGCCAGCAGCC
rnacentral:rRNA from 1 species